rnacentral:lncRNA from 1 species
GUGUCUCUUUCCCCACAGAUGUAACCAGGUUCCUGUGGAGGACACGGCUUUGCUAAGCCUGCCUGGCUUCUGUGUCCUCCUCUGGGCCUGAGUGCAGAGGGUGAGAGUCCACAUCCCCAGAACCAUGGGGACUGAACAGGAUUACUACAGAGCAGCAAAGAAGUGGGGCACCAAAGGAAAGAGUACACAACACCUUGUGAACACAGAAUUCUGGUGGACCCAGAAUAUGUGGGAGUUCAGUGAGACUUAAAGAGGAAAAGAUUUGACCUUCGAGAGCUGAGGGCAGGCCUCUGUCAGAACAGAGUAUGGAACAUGAAAUUGGUUAUGGAGCCGGACGAGAGGCUGAGAAUGUGGAUCGUCCUCCGAAGACGCUGUCCAGGGAAGACCUGGAGUGAAUCAUGGGCCAAGGGUGGAGGCCAAGUUACGGGGACAGAGAGGCGAAGACAAGGGCAGCAGUGCCCACAACAGGAAUUCCUACCCUUCAACUUUGUUCAUAGUGGUCCCUACUUUUAAUAUAUGUAAUGUAUUAAGACAGACAAUUCUGAGGUUGUAGUAACAAGGGAAAUGCAACUGGCACAGACAACCACUGAUUCUUUUUUUCAUGACUCCCCUAUUCGUGCUAACCUUUGUUCUGUGCCAAGUUCAUGACAAACCCCAGUUCAUUCCUGCAGCAAUGGGGGAAACUCUAAUCUUUGAGGGUAUUGGAAGGCUUCUGCCCUGCAGUCUUGUUGUGGGUUUACGCCUCCAAUUCCUAC